GACGAACGCUGGCGGCGUGCCUAAUACAUGCAAGUCGAACGCUGAAGGAGGAGCUUGCUUCUCCGGAUGAGUUGCGAACGGGUGAGUAACGCGUAGGUAACCUGCCUGGUAGCGGGGGAUAACUAUUGGAAACGAUAGCUAAUACCGCAUAACAGUAGAUGUUGCAUGACAUUUGCUUAAAAGGUGCAAUUGCAUCACUACCAGAUGGCCCUGCGUUGUAUUAGCUAGUUGGUGAGGUAACGGCUCACCAAGGCGACGAUUCAUAGCCGACGUGAGGAGGUGGUCGGCCACACUGGGACUGGAGACCGGCCCAGACUCCUACGGGGAGCAGCAGGAGGGAAACUUCGGCAAAGGACGGAAGUCUGACCGAGCAACGACGCGGGAGUGAAGAAGGUUUUCGGGUCGUAAAGCUCUGUUGUAAGAGAAGAACGAGUGUGAGAGUGGAAAGUUCACACUGUGACGGUAUCUUACCAGAAAGGGACGGCUAACUACGUG
rnacentral:rRNA from 1 species